rnacentral:sRNA from 1 species
AACGCCAAAAACAGCACCACUUCUGAGCCUGAAAUUGAAGAUGACACCGACUCGGAACGUGGAUCGGAAAUUUUCGAGACUGAUGAAAUGGAUGACGUCACUACUUCUCCACUUACGACGUUCUUCAUUGCUCCACUUUUCCUCGCACUUCUUCUGUACUUGGCGUCAAUCAAUUUUUCGGAACUUUUCAAUGGACUUUAUGGGAACUAAAUUCUACUUGCUGAUAUAAAUUUAAAUUACUGGAAAAUUGUUUUGUUCAUUUUAUUUUCUUACCAAGAAAUUUCUUUUUUUUUUGUUUUUUUUUUUUUUGAAAGUUUUAGAGAAUACGAAAAAAAAUAUUUUAAGUUCAAGAUGAUUAUUUUCGAAAAAAAGUUUUUAAAAAAGAAGAAAAAAUCAAUCAAGGAGCUGAGAAUUAGUGUUUCACUAAAAAUUCAAACGUCUCUCCAAAAAAUGACUGGAAAUUUGAUUUCCCCGCCAAAAAUAGACUGAAAUUUUGAUUUUCCCGCCAAAAAUUGACUGGAAAUUUGAUUUGUCCACCAAAAAUUGACAGAAAAUUUGAUUUCUCAUCAAAAAUUAAUAAUAAAAACGUGUAUUUAAUUUUUUUUUAAACCGUGACUUUGGAAAAUGUUGGAAAACAAAAGGGAAAUCAUCGCGAUUGCGUGGAUUUUAGUUUUAUUUCGUUUUCUUAGCUGGUUUCGAUCAAUAAUGUUGUCAAAAGUAAGCUUUUUCAUAGAUUUUUUGUUUUGAUAAAAGUUAUACAUUUUAGAUGGCAAAAUAUCCGGAAAACGAGAAAAAUGAUAGAGUGAGGACAAAAAUGUUUCGAAAUUUUUUUUUUCAACUUCAAAUAUGUUUCCAGACGGCAAAGGAACGAGGGGACCCGAGUAAGAAGGUAAAUUGUACAUAUUUUUCUCGAUUUCAACUUUCCCUUUCAGAUGCACACAUUCUCUCCAGGAACCAUGUUUCUGGCUAAAACAACUGAUGAACUAGUAAGCGAAAGUCUAAAUCUUGAGAAUUUUUUAAUUUUCAGAAAGCGAUUUUUGAUAUGCUGGGAAUGGAUGAACAAAUGAAGAAUGUUCUUCUUGAAAAUAGAAAGGUAUGCUUUUUUUUCAAAAAAUCUCUAUAUUUGAAAUUAAGUUUACUGAAAAAAAAAUUUAAAGUUCGUUUUUUUUCAGGACUAACUGAAGAAGAAGAAUUUCGAGAAGCUGGAGCAAUUUGUGAAAAAUAUCUCGAAUAGUGCACCGAACGACGACAGAGUAAGUAUGGAGAAGAUACGCAGACAGCUAGACACUCUAGCAGUCUGAGUCUCUCUCUCGCAUUUGUUCAAUAGGUUACUGUAGCUAUUAUUUCAGGACGCCGAGUAUCUUACCACCUCUGAGCCUGAAACUGAUGAUGACACCGACUUGGAAAUCAAAACAAAACUUAUCGAGCCAGCAUUAGAGGUACUGUAGUUUUUUGGGUUACUGUAGCAUACGAGACUGUAGCGUACGAGACUGUAGCGUUGAGUUACUGUAACAUGUGGUAACUGUAGCGUAGGAGUACUGUAUAGUUCAGUCACUGUAGGGUUAGGUUUCUGUGGCAUACAAGUAUUUUAAUGUCGGGUUACUGUAGCACAUGAAACUAUAGUUCUGGGUUACUGUGGCAUGUGGAUACUGUAGGGUUGGGUUACUUUCGCAUGUCAGACUGUGGUUUUUAGUUACUGUAGCAUAUGAUCACAUUACUGCCAGGUUAUUGUACCAUUACUGUAGCACACGGGUACUGUGGGUUACAGUAACCUUGUCAGGUGGCCGCGAAACUAGUAAGUUCUGCCACAAAGUGAAGACUUUCAGGUCGUCAAGCACGGCACUAUCAGUGAUCCGGAAACUGAAAUCCUUGGACCCGCAAAGAAGGAUGACGUCACGGCCCACGCAUCGAUGACGUCACUUGUCUGGAAAUUCGCAACCCUCAUAUUUAUUCCAAUUUUUCUUGCAAUUCUUCUGUAUUUUGUCCCAGUUGAUUUUUCGAAAUCUUCUAACCGUUUUUCCCAGAGCCGAGGUGCAAUUUGAUCUGAAUUUUAUGUUUUAAAAGAACAUUUCUUGAAUAAAGUACUUCUAGUUCCUUUUAGUUGUACUUGAGACAGAUCCGCGAAGUGUCGGCUGCUGGAAAACUUGCACGUUUCUUACUUCGACGCGGUUCAUUUAAGGGGUACUUAUUGCAAAACAAUAGAUGAAGUUGUACAAAAGUUUUGCAAGGAUUUUUUGAAAAGGCAAAGACAAUCGAGGUAUGAGCUGUCGAAAAUAUGUGAAAUAUUCCCGGUCGAUGCACCAUGCUCAACAACUAGCUUUAUACCCUUGAAUUUUAAAUAUAAUAUUUAAUGUUAAAAAUUACACAUCAAAGUUUUAUUCGAAAUUGUACACUAUCAUUAACAAUUAACACUAUUUUUAAUUAACACGCAAAUGUAAGCUCUCAUCACUUCAUUGCACGUUCCAGUUCUCAUACCAUUUGUCAUGAGAAACAUCUAACGCUCGCCACUGACGCCAAACCUAAACCUAAAUCUAAAACUAAGCCUGAGCCUACGCCUAAUCUUAAGCCUAUGCCUCAGCCAAAUCCCAAGCCAAGCCCCAAAAUUAAGCCAAAGCCCAAUCGAAAGUUAAUUAAGACUUAUCAACUGUAACAGCCAUUGUAUUCAUCAAUAGAAAAUCGAAAUCAAAAACGUCUCUGAGAAUAACCAUUAACAAACCGAAUGCCGUCAGAGACAAGGCAUUUACAGUCGACAGCUUACGCACAACUGGAUUUCCAGACACUUCUGCAUUGAGCUUUUCAAAGCUUGGUUCAAUGAAUAGCAUUUUAGAAAAAAGAAUAAUAGGGUAGAUGGUUUAGACAAGGAGAAUGAGUGUAUCGAUUCUUGAUGGGUGCGCUACCAUAAAACUUCAAGAACUAGGAGAACAUUUUCAGACUGCUCAUCAAGCAAUUUUGAAUCUUCGCAACUCGGAUUUGGAGGGUCUUGACCCAGAAGUUAAGGACACAGUUAUGUAUUUCAGAAAUGUGAGCUUCUUCUGAUUAUGAAAAACUGAAUAUUAUAGAUUUUGCUUCAAAACGAACAGAGUUACAGCUCCUUUUAAGAGAGUGACUAUACAUUUUUCAGAUCGAAAUGGAAAACGCGGUAUUCGGAAAAAAACCAGCGGAUGAUUCUGAUAAUGACGCAGUAAGUACUCUAACUGUCUGCGGUCUAUCAAUAAAAACAGAGGGCCUAAGUCUAGGCCUCAGCCAAAAUAUAAGCCCUUAAUUUUUGUAAAUUCUUCCAGAACGUCAAAAACAGCACCACUUCUGAGCCUGAAAUUGAAGAUGACACCGACUCGGAACUUGAAUCGGAAAUUCUCGAGACUGAUGAGAUGGAUGCCGUCACUACGUCUCCACUGAUGACGUCAUCAGUUCCAAAGUUCGCCCUAAUCUUCAUUAUUCCGAUUUUCCUCGCAAUUCUUCUGUACUUGGUGCCAAUCGAUUUUUUUCAAUGGACUCUAUGAGAACUAAAUUCUACUUGCUGAUAUAAAAAAUUGAUAAUUAAAAUUAUUUAAAAGCAAAAUAGUUUUACUUUAAAAUUGAAAUAUCUUUAACAACAGGCAUCUAAUUAUGAAUCAAUGUGUUUUUUGCAAAUAUAAUCCCGCAUCACUUCAUUACACUCCUGGUCCCACUCAUAGUCAAAAAAAAACCAGUACCUGUUGUAGCUUGAGAACCAUGCUCGAAAAAUCAAACUUGUUCAGUGCCCUUACAGUACCCCUACAGUACCCCUUCCAUAUCCAUACAAUAACCCUACACUAAGCAUACAGUACUGAAAAGCAAUUUUCAGGAAGUUGCUCAAUCCUGGAAAGCAUCCCGAAAAAACGUACGUGCACCAGGACCUCUACAGUACUCCAUCACUACCCAUAUUCUACAGUCCCACUAUUUUAUUUUCUACAGUACUCCUGCAGUACAGCAAUGGUACAUCUACAGUAACCCUACAGUGCCUUAUAGUAAUUUUUGUGUAAUUAUGUGGAUACUGUAGCGUUAAAAAUACGUUAACAAGAGAAAUCCAGAAUUUUUUUAUUUCGUUUUGAAAUUUGAAACAAAAAUUGAAAAUUUUUCACGUGAACCAGAAUUUUCACAAAAAAUUGGGAGUUUGUUGGAUCCACGUGGACAUAUUUGGAAUUUUUUCUCAGAUUUUGAAUUUGAAAAAGUUUUAUUUCGAUAUUUGUCGGUUGCUUCGAGCAAAAUGCCCAAAACUCCGUUGACUCAACGGCAAAUUGCUGCAAAAUACAAAAAUGAGACUUGGGACGACAUUGUGAAAGAGGUUAGUUGGAAUUUUCUAGCAUUCCGUACCCAAUAAUUGACUAUAUUUUAGAUGAGAGAAAACUCUGCAUACUGGAUGGAUACGGUAGGUUUUUGUUUGAAUUCCCAGCAAAAUUGUUCUUUUCAGACUUUACCGAAAGCCGAGCAGCGCAGAAAUUAUGGGAAGAUGGAGGAAUUUGUGAAAAGAAUGGAUAUGUGCCGGGAGAGACAGAAGGCGGUUAGUUGAAUAGAGGGAGAGAGACCAGACAGCACUCUAACUGUCUGCGCUCUGGUUAUCCGAUUUUUUAAAGCAAAUUCUGAAAAAUCGACAGUUUUCGGGGUUUUUUUCCUCAAAAUUAUCGACUUUGACAAUUUAGAAAAUGUUUCUUUUCAAACUAUAAUUUUUUUUGAAACUGUCUAGUUUUUUUCCGAUUUUUGAGAAAUUAAUAAAAACAUAAACUUUAAAAGUUGGAAAUUAUCGAUUAAUUCCAACAAUAAAUCCAAUUUUCAGACGGUAGAAAAUCUGAAAAAUCUGGAAAAACUUGUGGAGCAAGACGAGAAUGGAAAUGCGGUGGGCAUCCAGAAAAACUUUUUUCUGUAAUGUACCUAAAUUACAGGAAAUUUCCGCGGAAGAUCAAGAGAUUCUAUCGAUGCUGAAAUUGGAUCAAGUAAGAGACUUUGUGCACCAGAACUUCUAGAACUACGGGAAUAUUUUCAGAAUGCUCAUAAAGCAAUUUUGAAUCUUCGCAACUCGGAUUUUGAGGGUCUUGAGCCGGAAGUUAAAGACACAAUUAUGUAUUUCAGAAAGGUGAGCAUUUCCUGAUUCUGAACAACUGAAUUUUAUAGAUUUCGCUCAAAAACUAACAGAUUUACGGCUAAUUUUCAAAUAGAGUGAAGGAGGGGAGAGAGCGCAGACGACGAGAGUGUCUCGUUUCUCUUUCUCUCCUCACAUUACCUCACACUCAUUAUACAUUUUUCAGAUUGAAAUGGAAGACGAGGUAUUCGGAAAAGAGCCGGUGGAUGCUUCUGAUAGUGACGAAG